rnacentral:rRNA from 1 species
UGCCAGCCGCCGCGGUAAUACGGAGGGAGCGAGCGUUGUUCGGAAUUACUGGGCGUAAAGCGUACGUAGGCGGAUGAACAAGUUGGGGGUGAAAUCCCGGGGCUUAACCCCGGAACUGCCUUCAAAACUGUUCGUCUAGAGACCGGGAGAGGUAAGCGGAAUUCCUAGUGUAGAGGUGAAAUUCGUAGAUAUUAGGAAGAACACCAGUGGCGAAGGCGGCUUACUGGACCGGUACUGACGCUAAGGUACGAAAGCGUGGGGAGCGAACAGGAUUAGAUA